GGGGGGGGGGGGGGGGGGGGCGGGGGGGGGGGGGGCGGGGGGGGGGGCGGGGAGCUGGGGCCUCGGGCGUGAGCGGCGGACGGGGGAGUAGCGCGGGGAUAACCUACCUAUGAGCCGGGGAGAACUGCGGGACACCGGAGCUAAUACCGGCUAAGAUAUGGAACCGCAGGGGUCAAGCGGGACAGACGGUUUUGCUGUCACUUAGAGAUGGAUCCGCGCCGCAUUAGCUAGUUGGUAAGGUAACGGCUUACCAAGGCAACGAUGCGUAGCCGACCUGAGAGGGUGAUCGGCCACACUGGAACUGAGACACGGUCCAGACUCCUACGGGAGGCAGCAGUAGGGAAUCUUCCGCAAUGGGCGAAAGCCUGACGGAGCAACGCCGCGUGAGUGAUGAAGGUCUUCGGAUCGUAAAACUCUGUUAUUAGGGAAGAACAAAUGUGUAAGUAACUAUGCACGUCUUGACGGUACCUAAUCAGAAAGCCACGGCUAACUACGUG
rnacentral:rRNA from 1 species